rnacentral:rRNA from 1 species
GAUGAACGCUGGCGGCGUGCCUAAUACAUGCAAGUCGAGCGAAUGGAUUGAGAGCUUGCUCUCAAGAAGUUAGCGGCGGACGGGUGAGUAACACGUGGGUAACCUGCCCAUAAGACUGGGAUAACUCCGGGAAACCGGGGCUAAUACCGGAUAACAUUUUGAACCGCAUGGUUCGAAAUUGAAAGGCGGCUUCGGCUGUCACUUAUGGAUGGACCCGCGUCGCAUUAGCUAGUUGGUGAGGUAACGGCUCACCAAGGCAACGAUGCGUAGCCGACCUGAGAGGGUGAUCGGCCACACUGGGACUGAGACACGGCCCAGACUCCGACGGGAGGCAGCAGUAGGGAAUCUUCCGCAAUGGACGAAAGUCUGACGGAGCAACGCCGCGUGAGUGAUGAAGGCUUUCGGGCCGUAAAACUCUGUUGUUAGGGAAGAACAAGUGCUAGUUGAAUAAGCUGGCACCUUGACGGUACCUAACCAGAAAGCCACGGCUAACUACGUGCCAGCCGCCGCGGUAACAC